AAAAAAAAAAAAAAAAAGAACCACAUCACUGAAAGCUUUCUGAGACACGGCUUUGUGAACCGUGGGGACGGUCGGCAGGCCCAUCACCACAGGCCUGGGCUUGUAUCCUGCUGUUCCGCACGCUCAGCACCAAGCAGCCUCUGCUGUCUGGAGGGUCCUGUUAUUCUUGCCUAUGUAAUGAAAUAAAAAUCCCAGGUUCCUUACCGAUGGUGGCAAUUAGAAAAUGCAUCGCUAAACAAAGACCUUGACUUCCAAACUUCUACCGGGUGCUGUGGGGCCCUGAAAAGAACAGAGGUGUGCAGUCCGCCUUACGUCUCAUUGACUGCUGCCAUGUUCACCACAUUUAAAAACAAAAAAAACCAAAAAGCCAAAAAAACCAGCCCUGUGGAUCAGACACUGACACUCGCUCGCUUGCAGAUGAGAACAGGGAGCCUAGAAAUCGUCCAGCUAGAAGGUGAGAAACUGGGGGUUCGCACCCUAUUUGGUUGUUCCCUUUUGACAAAGAGAAGGAAGAGCCAAGGGAAGGAAGCAGACAGGACAGACAGACACGCGGUGUGUCUCACCAUCUCUGCCCUAGUGCAAGCCGAAAGUCACAGGCAGAGCCUGGGGCUCAGUGCUUCUCAUCGUCCUUGAGCCUCCUCAACGGGGAAGCCUGCACUUCCUGAAGGGCUCUCGCACGUAAGAUAUUCCAAAAUUUAAUUAACUAGCGUUUGUGAAGUACCAGGAGAUCAGGAGAUGCAGUAUGCUGAGUUCACGCAUGUGUGCCCAGCAGCAGUAUUAGGGGCGGGUAACAAAAUGUGUUUGACUUGCUUAAAAAAAAAAAAAAAA
rnacentral:sRNA from 1 species